rnacentral:rRNA from 1 species
GGUCCCUACGGGACGCAGCAGUCGAGAAUCAUUCACAAUGGGGGAAACCCUGAUGGUGCGACGCCGCGUGGGGGAAUGAAGGUCUUCGGAUUGUAAACCCCUGUCAUGUGGGAGCAAAUUAAAAAGAUAGUACCACAAGAGGAAGAGACGGCUAACUCUGUGCCAGCAGCCGCGGUAAUACAGAGGUCUCAAGCGCUGUUCGGACUCACUGGGCGUAAAGCGUGCGUAGGCUGUUUCGUAAGUCGUGUGUGACAGGCGCGGGCUCAACCCGCGGACGGCACAUGAUGCUGCGAGACUAGAGUAAU